CUUUUGUUAAGCAUACUGGUGUGAAACCUUUGAUAUCGAAUUUACUUACUGCAGUGUAACCUAUUCUAUUAUACGGAAGUUGCAUCACUCUUCAACAGGAUUCAUCACUGCGCAGAUCAUCGAGCGCAUUCGGCAUACAUACCCGUGUCAGCCAUUUUCCCGCUUCUUGUUGGAAGAAGAAGUAUAUUCGGACAGUCUUACCCGGCUUCCCGGCUCCGUGAGAUUUCAACGUCUGCACAGAAUGUAGCACAGGCGGUUCCGAAUAAGAGACUGCAAUUGGCAAUGCGACCGACGUGAUGGAUACAGAAGACACGCAUGUUAAUGAACAGGUAGUUUGAAACGUUCCAUACUUUCUAUUUAAGUGUAUCGAGACAGUUUGGUAUAUUUUAUUAUUUUUCAUACACCUUGCUAUGGUGCACUUUAUAUGUUUCAGAUUUCAACGUCUGCACAUAAUGUAGAAUAUUAAAACAAAAAUAUAUAGAUGUAUGUCUUUUUGUGUAUAUAUUGUAAAUCUUUGAUUGUCUGAACAUUUUGAAAUAAAUAUUAAAACAAAAGUAUAUAGAUGUAUGUCUCCUUGUGUAUAUAUUGUAAAUCUUUGAUUAUGUGUGAAAAUAUUGAAUUAAAUAUUUAAAAAAAAUUAUAUAGAUGUAUGUCGCCUUGUGUAUAUAUUGUAAAUCUUUGAUUAUGUAUGAAAAUAUUAAAAAAAUAUAUAGAUGUAUGUCUCAUUGUGUACAUAUUGUAAAGC